UGGGGAAUCUUGCACAAUGGGCGAAAGCCUGAUGCAGCGACGCCGCGUGCGGGAUGAAGGCCUUCGGGUUGUAAACCGCUUUCAGCAGGGACGAGGCCGCAAGGUGACGGUACCUGCAGAAGAAGCCCCGGCUAACUACGUGCCAGCAGCCGCGGUAAUACGUAGGGGGCAAGCGUUAUCCGGAUUCAUUGGGCGUAAAGCGCGCGCAGGUGGUUUAGAAAGUCUGAUGUGAAAGCCCACGGCUCAACCGUGGAGGGUCAUUGGAAACUAAUAAACUUGAGUGCAGGAGAGAAAAGUGGAAUUCCUAGUGUAGCGGUGAAAUGCGUAGAGAUUAGGAGGAAUACCGGUGGCGAAGGCGACUUUCUGGACUUUUACUGACGCUCAGGUACGAAAGCGUGGGGAGCAAACAGG
rnacentral:rRNA from 1 species